rnacentral:rRNA from 1 species
UACGAAGGGGGCUAGCGUUGUUCGGAAUUACUGGGCGUAAAGGGCGCGUAGGCGGCGCAACAAGUCACUUGUGAAAUCUCCGGGCUUAACCCGGAGCGGCCAAGUGAUACUGUCGUGCUAGAGUGCGGAAGGGGCUACUGGAAUUCUCGGUGUAGCGGUGAAAUGCGUAGAUAUCGAGAGGAACACCUGCGGCGAAGGCGGGUAGCUGGGCCGACACUGACGCUGAUGCGCGAAAGCCAGGGGAGCGAACGGG